rnacentral:lncRNA from 1 species
ACAAGCUGCUUCUUGCCAGCAUGCCAAUAACCUUAAAUCAAGAAACAGCUUCCUAAGAGCUACAGAGAUACUUGCAGGAAUACCUCAGCAAGCAAGAGUCCAAAAGUGGCAGGUGAAAACUCGAAACCUCAAUCAGUGGCUGAUAUUGAUGAGAUUCCCUCCUGGGUACACAGAAGACUGGGCAACUUGGAAGGUGCUGAACAGACUGUACUCUGGCACCAUGAGAUGCAGAGCCAGUCUUAAGAAAUGGGGCUACAAAGUACAGCCCAUGACAUGUGAGUGUGGAGAAGAGUUGUUUUUUUGUGUGUGUGUGUGUCAGGAGCAACCGGAGUUGCUUCUGGAGUGAGAGAAUUGGCCGUCUGCGAGGACGUUGCCCAGGGGAUGCCCGGAUGUUUUUUUGAUGUUUUACUGUCCUUGUGGGAGGCUUCUCUCAUGUCCUCGCAUGGAGCUGGAGCUGACAGAGGGAGCUCAUCUGCACUCUCCCCGGGUGGGAUUCGAACCUGGCAGCCUUCAGGUCAUCAACCCAACCUUCAAGUCACGAGGCUUUUAUCCCCUAGGCCACCGGAGUAAACCACAGACUAUUUGCUAAAACGCACAAUGGAGGACCUUCUUACAGCGACACCAGAAGCACUUGAAGUGGCCAACUUCUGGUCAAAGGAAAUUUAGUAUAAUGCCCAGUUUUUAACUUUGUGUUUUUUAUAUACAUUAUAACUGUAUUCUUAAUUUGCUUCUGACAUGAUAAAUUAAUAGCCACAACUUAUCUGUUCCACAACUAAAUCCAAAUCCAAAAGAUACAUCCUGAAAAAGGGAUCCAGCAUGGGAAGAAAACUGUCACAAUUACAUCUCCAUCCAAGCCCAGUGAAUAUUCCUGUAUUUAUUCAGAAGUAAUAACAGAACUGGAAAGAUCAAUACUGUCAAAUGAUCACGUAAGUAAUAUCUGUUAUGUCAUUCUAGCAUAAUAAUUCAUAAUUCUAGGGGAUCAACACUAUCAAAUCACCUCUCUCACCAUUUUUAUUAUGGGCAGAAAUGGGAUUUGAAUAAAGUAGUGUUUCUUCCUCUGUUCCCACUAUACCUUCUUCUCCGACUUCCACCCUUCUUACACUAUCGUCACUACCCAUCUCUGGCUGUUACAACUUUUCUUCUUUCUAAAAUUCCCCUUGAUAUUUUUUUAUCAAUUAGCA